GAAUCUUCCACAAUGGGCGAAAGUCUGAUGGAGCAACGCCGCGUGAGUGAAGAAGGGUUUCGGCUCGUAAAGCUCUGUUGUCGGGGACGAAUGUGCAGUAUUUGAAUAAAGUACUGCAAUGGCGGUACCUGACGAGGAAGCCACGGCUAACUACGUGCCAGCAGCCGCGGUAU
rnacentral:rRNA from 1 species